rnacentral:rRNA from 1 species
AUACGAAGGGUGCAAGCGUUAAUCGGAAUUACUGGGCGUAAAGCGCGCGUAGGUGGUUCAGUAAGUUGGAAGUGAAAUCCCCGGGCUCAGCCUGGGAACUGCUUUCAAAACUGCUGAGCUAGAGUAUGGCAGAGGGUGGUGGAAUUUCCUGUGUAGCGGUGAAAUGCGUAGAUAUAGGAAGGAACACCAGUGGCGAAGGCGACCACCUGGGCUAAUACUGACACUGAGGUGCGAAAGCGUGGGGAGCAAACA